GACGACACCUAGGAAGUACUGGGCCAAGUACAUAGGAUGGUCAGCCCUGUGUGUAAAGUGUAGGUGAAACAGGCAUUGGUUGGGCAGGGGAUGCCCAGAGAGCAAGAGAACAGCUGUCUUGAGUGGCCUGACCGUAUAUAAUACAAAAAGAAAAUUAAUGGUACAACUUCAAGUGAAAACCUCUAGGUCGAGGAAACCAGAUGGGGUAAGAAACACAUGUGAGUACUCCAGAAAGAAGGACUUAGCGCAUGUCACCCUAAGGAAUGCAGUGUCUCCAAGAGCCUUGGACCAGCACUGAGGUAUCCUCCCAGCAGUCUUGUCGAUAUGGCAUCAUUGGUAAAACUAGAAUGUCAGAGCCAAGGAAAUGAGAGUUCCUGCCUCUUACUUCAGCCCAACUCCUCUCCUCCCUGGAUGGUUCUCUGGGAAGGUACAUCCAUGUGGAACAUGCAGAAAGCCUGGAAGAGGAUGGCAUUCAGCACAAAACUUCCACUCUGAGAGGAGGCUGAGAUAUAGUGGCUGUGCUAAGUUGCUUCAGUCGUGUCUGACUCUUUGCGACCCUGUAAAGAGUAACCCACUAGGCUCCUCCGUCCAUGGUGUUCUCCAGUGCUACUUGGGAAGCCAGAGCUGGAGUUCCUGGGUCCGGAUGUUUGGCUCCCCGGCUAAGAAGCUAUGUGACCUUGGCAAGUUACUUAUCCUCUACCUUCGUCAAUGAUCUUCUCUGUAAAAUGUGAAUGAUAAGAAGAGUACUUAUCUCAUUCCCGGUGAAGACUAAAUGUGUUAAAACAUGUAAGGCAUUUAGAAAGGUGCCUGGCAUACAGCCCUGUGCCAGAAGAAGGGGAUGCCAUGGUAAACAAGAAACAGAUGAACAAAAGUAAAUGAUAAUCUGUGCUAGGUUUUGGAGAAACUCUAAGGGACAAGGAGAGAGAAAAACAAUGGAUUUGGGAAUGUGCAUGUUGAAGACCUUAAAAAGCAGAAACUGAUGUUUCAGGAAAAGAAGGAAUUCUGCCUUAAGACUGGAACAUAGAAAUCUUGCUGAAAUUUCCAGCCCACUUGCCUGCUGUAUAGAUUUGGAACUCAAGACUAUAACAUCACCUCUUGUCUGCAUUUCUAGCUUGCUGGUUUGCUGGUUCAGUUUUUAUUAAAACUGAAGCGCGGUGGACUAAUGGUAUUAUAUUAGGGAUUUUGUUUAUUUAUUUUAUUUUUUAAACAUUUUUUUUAUGUAGACCA